rnacentral:rRNA from 1 species
AGUGGGGAAUAUUGCACAAUGGGCGCAAGCCUGAUGCAGCCAUGCCGCGUGUGUGAAGAAGGCCUUCGGGUUGUAAAGCACUUUCAGCGGGGAGGAAGGGCUACUAGUUAAUACCUAGUAGCAUUGACGUUACUCGCAGAAGAAGCACCGGCUAACUCCGUGCCAGCAGCCGCGGUAAUACGGAGGGUGCAAGCGUUAAUCGGAAUUACUGGGCGUAAAGCGCACGCAGGCGGUUUGUUAAGUCAGAUGUGAAAUCCCCGAGCUCAACUUGGGAACUGCAUUUGAAACUGGCAAGCUAGAGUCUUGUAGAGGGGGGUAGAAUUCCAGGUGUAGCGGUGAAAUGCGUAGAGAUCUGGAGGAAUACCGGUGGCGAAGGCGGCCCCCUGGACAAAGACUGACGCUCAGGUGCGAAAGCGUGGGGAGCAAA